CCGCGUCCUUAGCCCCGGCCUCCCUCAGAACGCGCUGGGAUGGGAACCGCGUUCAGGAGCUGCUAAGCGCGUUUGAGACUUCAGCCCCUUCUCCAGCUUUUAACCUAAAAGGGCUAAAUCAGACCGCAGCUAGUGUACACCCCUACCCUCCGCUGAUCCCGUCACCCCUGCGCCGAAAGCAAAAGACCCAUUCCAGCUCUGGACGUUGUGAGGCCUGGCCCAGGCGUCCGCUCUCUGGUUUUCCUAUUGAUCUUACCCCUGCUUUGGGGCCAUUGUGUUGCGGGAAGUCAGGGACCCCAAACGGAGGGACCCGCUGAAGCCAUGGCAGAAGAACGUGGAUUGUGAAGAUUUCAUGGACAUUUAUUAGUUUCCCAAAUUAAUACUUUUAUAAUUUCUUAUGCCUGUCUUUACUGCAAUCUCUGAAGAUUUCAUGGACACUUAUCACUUCCCCAAUCAAUACCCUUAUGAUUUCCUAUGCCUGUCUUUACUUUAAUCUGUUAAUCCUGUCAGCUCGUAAACCAAGGAGGAUGUAUGUCGCCUCAGGACCCUGUGAUAAUUGCGUUAACUGCACAAAUUGUAGAACAUGUGUGUUUGAACAAUAUGAAAUCUGGGCACCUUGAAAAAAGAACAGGAUAACAGCAAUUGUUCAGGGAAUAACAGCGAUAACCUUAAACUCUGACCACCGGUGAGACGGGCGGAAAAGAGCCAUAUUUCUCUUCUUUCAAAAGCAAAUGGGAGAAAUAUUGCUGAAUUCUUUUUCUCAGCAAGGAACAUCCCUGAGAAAGAGAAUGCACCCCUGAGGGUGGGUCUAUAAAUGGCCCCCUUGGGUGUGGCCAUCUUCUGUGGUCGAGACUGUAGGGAUGAAAUAAACCCCAGUCUCCCAUAGCACUCCCAGGCUUAUUAGGAAGAGGAAAUUCCCCCCUAAUAAAUUUGGUCAGACCGGUUGAUCUCAAAACCCUGUCUCCUGAUAAGAUGUUAUCAAUGACAAUGGUGCCCGAAACUUCAUUAGCAAUUUUAAUUUCACCCCAGUCCUGUGGUCAUGUGAUCUCGCCCUGCCUCCAUUUGCCUUGUGAUAUUCUAUUACCUCAUGAAAGACGUGAUCUGUGACCCACACCUAUUCGCACACUCCCUCCCCUUUUGAAACUCCCUAAUAAAAACUUGCUGGUUUUGCAGCUUGUGGGGCAUCGUGGAACCUACCGACAUGUGAUGUCUCCCCCAGAUGCCCGGCUUUAAAAUUUCUCUCUUUGUACUCUGUCCCUUUAUUUCUCAAACCAGCGGAUGUUUAGGGAAAAUAGAAAAGAACUUACGUGACUAUCAGGGCAGGUUCCCCAAUAAUUGCAGUUCCUCUAGGUGGGAUGUUACCUCAUUAAUUUGAGAUCUUUCUAACUUUUUGAGGUAGGUGUUUAGCACCAUAAACUUUUCUCUUAACACUGCUUUUGCUGUAUCCCAGAGAUUUCCGUAUGUUAUGUCUCUGUUUUCAUUUAUUUCAAAGAUUUUUUUACUUCUGCCUUAAUUGCACUAUUUACCCAAAAGUCUUUUAGGAGCAAGUUGUUUAAUUUCCAUGUAACUGUGUGGUUUAAAGAGAUCUUCUUGGUAUUGAUUUCCAUUUUUAUUCUACCGAGGUCUGAGAAUAUGGUUGCUAUGAUUUAGGUUUUUUUAAAUUUAUCGAAACUUGCUUUAUGGCCAGGCAUGUGGUGGAAUGUGUUCUAUGUGCAGAUGAGAAAAAUGUAUAUUCCUGUGGUUGAUGGGUGGAGUAUUCUGUAGAUGUCUAUUAGGUCCAAUUGGUCAAGUGUUGAAUUUAAGUCCAGAAUUUUUGUCAGCUUUCUUUCUUCUUUCUCCCUUCCUUCCUUCCUUCCUCUUUCUUUUCUUUCCUUCCUUCCUUUUUCUUUUUCUUUUGUCUGAGACAGAGUCUCGCUCUUUCAUCCAGGCUGGAGUGCAGUAGCGCAAUCUUAGCUCACUGCAACCUCUACCUCCCAGCUCAAGCGAUUCUCCUGCCUCAGCCUCCUGAGUAGCUGGGAACACAGGCGUGCACCACCAUGCCCACCUAAUUUUUGUAUUUUACAAAACAGAGAUAGGGUUUCACCAUGUUGGCCAGACUGGUCUCGAACUCCUGGCCUCAAGUGAUCUGCCCACCUCAGCCUCCCAAAGUGCUGGGAUUACAGGCAUGAGCCACUGUGCCCAGCCUAUUUUUGUCAGUUUUCUGCCUCAAUGAUCGGUCUAGCAGUGUCAGUCAGGUGUUGAAGUACCCUACUAUUAUUGUGUGGCUUUCAAAGUCUUUUCAUAGGUCUAGAAGGACUCAUAAAUCUGGGUGAUCCAAUAUUGGGUAUAAAUAUAUUUAGGAUAUUUGUCUUCUUAUUGAAUUGAAUUCUUU
rnacentral:lncRNA from 10 species